rnacentral:rRNA from 1 species
GACGAACGCUGGCGGCGUGCUUAACACAUGCAAGUCGAACGGAGUGGCGAACGGGUGAGUAACACGUGGGUGAUCUGCCUUGCACUUCGGGAUAAGCUUGGGAAACUGGGUCUAAUCACGGAUAGUGCAAGAUGAGCUCGCGGCCUAUCAUCUUGGUGGUGGGGUAAUGGCCUACCAAGUCGUCGACGGGGAGCCGGCCUGAGAGGGUGUACGGCCACAUUGGGACGGGGAUACGGCCCAGACUGUUACGGGAGGCAGCAGUGGGGAAGAUUGCACAAUGGGCGGAAGCCUGAUGCAGCGACGCCGCGUGUGGGAUGAAGGCCUUCGGUUUGUAAACUCCUGUCGACAGGGACGCGGUACCUGUAUAAGAAGCACCGGCUAACUACGUGCCAGCAGCCGCGGUAAUUC